rnacentral:RNase_P_RNA from 1 species
AGUAAGACAGGUGGCCGCAGCUGUGAUACCGAAAGGUUGCAGAUGAGGAAAGUCCGGGCUUCACAGGGCAGGAUGCCAGAUAACGUCUGGCGGAGGCGACUCCAGGGAUAGUGCAACAGAAAUAUACCGCAUGGAAACAUGUAAGGGUGGAAGGGCAGUGUAAGAGACUACCGCCUGGCUGGUAACAGCCGGGGCAUAUGUAAACCCCAUCCGAAGCAAGACCGAACAGGAAACAUAAGGCGGCCCGUCUGUUUCCGGGUAGGUCGCUUGAGUCUGCCGGCGACGGCAGACCUAGAUAGAUGGCCAUCCAACGACAUAACCCGGCUUAUCGUCUUGCUCA